rnacentral:snoRNA from 1 species
CUUUUGCCUAUGAUGGCAUUAAAUAUACUUUGAGUAUCUCACUUUGAAAAGAACCUAAACCUGAGGUAUAAA